CCCAAAUCUCGCGAGUGUUUCUGUUUCUGUUGUUUGUGUGUUUCCGCUUACCUUAACCUGAACAAAAUCCCUAUUAGAAGACAGAUUAACCCCACAAUCCAAAUUUGACAUGUCUUAUAAAGCGCCACCUGACCAAAGGUUAACUAACCAGUCAUUUUUCCUAAGCCUUCUGACAGAGAAAUGGCUUGACGCUGAUUGGGACAGACAGCAUCAUUAAAAUAAAGCCUGGCAUGCAGUGAACACUGAUGAAGCCGUAUAUCUGCAGAGGAAAUAACUCAGGUGGAAGAAGGGACCUGCCAGCAUACUUGCCCAUUCAUCACAGUCUGUUUGUGGCAACUGUAUGCAGCGGGUGACUCAGCAGCAACCUGCACAUCAGAGGAUACUGAGGAACCCUGGCUCCUUCCACCACCUUCUCUAUCUAGAAAACCCAAAUGAGAAUUCAGUUUAAAUAUUAGGGCUUCAGUGCUCCAAGCAACUUGAAUCCAUCACAUUUUUUCUGGCAGAUGUGAACUCCUGAGCUGUUGACCUAAAUUCCCAUUGACCUCUGCUUCCAAGUCUCAUUUGUGAAUUUCAAACUCCUAUCAAUAAA